GAUGAACGCUAGCUACAGGCUUAACACAUGCAAGUCGAGGGGCAGCAUGGUCUUAGCUUGCUAAGGCCGAUGGCGACCGGCGCACGGGUGAGUAACACGUAUCCAACCUGCCGUCUACUCUUGGACAGCCUUCUGAAAGGAAGAUUAAUACAAGAUGGCAUCAUGAGUUCACAUGUUCACAUGAUUAAAGGUAUUCCGGUAGACGAUGGGGAUGCGUUCCAUUAGGUAGUAGGCGGGGUAACGGCCCACCUAGCCGACGAUGGAUAGGGGUUCUGAGAGGAAGGUCCCCCACAUUGGAACUGAGACACGGUCCAAACUCCUACGGGAGGCAGCAGUGAGGAAUAUUGGUCAAUGGGCGAGAGCCUGAACCAGCCAAGUUAGCGUGAAAGGAUGAAGGUCCUACGGAUUGUAAACUCUUUUAANACGGAAUAAAGUAUCCUACGUGUAGG
rnacentral:rRNA from 1 species